UUUUUCACAGUCCAUGUGUAAGUGGAGGUGAGUGUGUGUGUGUGUGUGUGUGUGUGUGUGUGUGUGUGUGUGUGUGUGUGUGUGUGUGUGUGUGUGUGUGUGUGUGUGUGUGUGUGUGUGCACUCAUGCUGUUAAUGGAUUGCUAAUUAAGGACUUAUCAGGUGAAGCCAGAAAAAGCAGGAGAGGAAAUGGAGGAGUGGAGUGCCAGAUCCACAAACGUCCUUCCAUGAGAAAUGCACCUGCUAUGUCAUCUGUUGUUUUUGACAGUUACCCUUCACUUUGGUGUCGCCAAGGGUGGAAGAGCCCAGCGUAAACAGAGGCAGGCUGAAGAGAAGUUAAGGCCGUAUUUGGGCAGAGUGGAUCCAGAAUCCCUUUGUCAGUUGUUGAAAUGUCACAGUCCUAUUGGUUCCUGGUGCCAAGUAGUGAAGGAGGGGGGAGUUCUCGCCCCUAAAUGUGUGUGUCCAAAGACCUGCCCAUGGCAGGGGGCACCAAUGUGCAGCGUUUUGGGGAAGACGUACAGCAAUGAGUGUCUUCUUCACAAGGAGGCCUGCCGUAAAAAACGACGCAUUGGCAAGGCACAUAGUGGAGCCUGUAUUGUGAGCAAGGCUGGGUGCUCUGAGGAAGAGUUCGGUCAGUUCCCGUACCGUCUGCUGGACUGGUUCCUACUCCUCAGCAGAAUGGGAGAGAGAUACACACCAGCCGCUCCCUCACAAAGCUGCCUCACACACACACAGCGAACGCAGCUUGCAGAGAGGAGGUUUGUUCUGCUGGAUCGUAACAGGGACGGGAAGUUAAGCAGGAGAGAUCUGAGAAAGCUUCACUACAAGCGGAUGCCACUGGAGCACUGCGCUCAAAGAUUCUUCCAGUCAUGUGACAAGAACAAGAAUAAGAAGGUGACCCUGAGGGAGUGGACAGCCUGUCUGGUUGACCGGUCAGAAUGCUGGUUUCAGGAUUUCAUGUCCGUGAAGAUGGGCUCACCAAAGCUGUGUCCUGUCCCUGACAACAACCUUUAAAUUUAGAUGCUUUAUCCAGGUGGAAUCAUAUCUUAUACCUUAUCAUUUACCUAGACAUUAUAAUAACUGAUACCUGGAGAAAGCUAGACAUUUGCAUUCUUGUUGGAUUAAAAAUAAAGUAAAAUAGUGAC
rnacentral:lncRNA from 1 species